rnacentral:rRNA from 1 species
AUAAGCAUAUCAAUAAGCGGAGGAAAAGAAACUAACAAGGAUUCCCUUAGUAACUGCGAGUGAAGCGGGAAAAGCUCAAAUUUAAAAUCUGGCGGUUCUUUUCUUGGCCGUCCGAGUUGUAAUCUAGAGAAGUGCUUUCCGCGCUAGACCGUGUACAAGUCUCUUGGAAUAGAGCGUCAUAGAGGGUGAGAAUCCCGUCUCUGACACGGAUUGCUAGUGCUUUUGCGAUGCGCUCUCGAAGAGUCGAGUUGUUUGGGAAUGCAGCUCAAAAUGGGUGGUAAAUUCCAUCUAAAGCUAAAUAUUGGCGAGAGACCGAUAGCGAACAAGUACCGUGAGGGAAAGAUGAAAAGAACUUUGGAAAGAGAGUUAAACAGUACGUGAAAUUGUUGAAAGGGAAACGCUUGAAGUCAGUCGCAUCAGCUAGGGAUCAACCUUGCUAUUCGCUGGGUGCACUUUCCAGCUGAUGGGUCAGCAUCAAUUUUGAUCGUCGGACAAAGUUUGAAGGAAUGUGGCACUCAUUUUUGGGUGUGUUAUAGCCUUUGAUCGCAUACGACGGUCGGGAUUGAGGAUCUCAGCACGCCGAAAGGCCGGAGCUUUGCUCACGUUCGUGCUUAGGAUGCUGGCAUAAUGGCUUUAAUCGACC